GACUGCAAGACAGUGGUCUGCUUGGCCAACAGAAUGGACAGGCAUCAGGUCCCCUUGAUUAAACAGUGACAUCUUUCAGGACCCAGGAAUUGUAGCUUCUCUGUGGCACCUGCCUUCUGGAAUAAGGAAAUAUGACCCUAAAACAUGUGAUGGUGUUGCUGUUACACACAAUGAACUCUGUGACCUAAUAACACUACUAUUAAGAUGAAGAUGAAAUUCAGAGAGCAGCUGGGACGCAUUUGGCAUUGGGUCUUGAGUUUCUGAUUCCUAACAUGCAUCAAUGAUAUGGGAGCAGUCUUGGACUAAAGACAGAUAUUAUGUCUGCUGGGGGGAAAAGUGUUGAAGUCGAAGGGGAACAUAAUCUGAAGUUGGCUUGGCCGAAGUUAACAUCAUGCAAGAGCUCUAAUCUUUGAAGAUUUGAAGAAAAUCAGUGCAUUAAAAACACAACUCUUUAUUAACACCAGAAUGUAUUUUUUGUAAUUGCAAUAAAUUAUACAAAUAAAGAUUUAAUGUACCAGAUUGGACUUUUAUUGAUGAAACUUUGUUGGUAAGGUGGAUAAGGAAACAUUUUAAAAAGCAGAAUAAUUACUUUCAGUAAUAUUUGAGACCAAAUGGUAGGAGUAUUACUGUAAUGCUAUGUAUAAAAUUCUCUUUUAACGGAAUGAUUUAUGAAAGGAAUUUUAAAUGUUUCAGACAUUCCCUUUGCUAGGACUUGUUUAUGCCUUUAAAGGAGUUUUGUAGAUUUAAAUGUUAGAACUGCAGCAUUUGGAAGUCAUGGAAAUCAGAGAGUUCUUAGGAGAGAAGUGUCACCAAAAAAGAUUUCAAGCUCCAGUCAGUAAUCUUCACAAUUUAACUAUACUUGUCCAAACAAUGAAAAAUAUGCAACCGACAGCCAUUUUAAAAAGUAGCCAAAAACUUACACGUUUUCAGUCACAUCUGACCAACCCAGUUGUAUUGAGUAUACAGUAACUAUUCUAAUGUGUGACAUUGUGGUGAGUCUUCUGGGCUAAUGUGUUAAAAAGAAACCUGUCUUGGGCAGCAGGUUCCUUCACUCAAGCUUAUAUGAAGUUUAAAUAUAAAUGUACAGUUUUAAAGUUCAAUUCCAAAACAAACCAUAUUCCCCCAGUCUAAAAGCAACACAACCAUUGCAACUAAAAAUUAAAAGAAUUGAACCUCUGA